UUAAAUAACUCUGAUGUUAUUGCUUUUUUUGCUGUUCACUAUUUAGUAAACAGGGUAAAAUCAAGAAGGACUUCCUCCUUCCUGACUGUAAAAAUGAAAAUUAUCUUCAAAAGAUCAGUCAGAUUGUGUCAAAACAUCGUGGGAAAAAGCUGAGACUAAAUAAAGUUGAAAAAUUCACUUUCAGAGUUGGGUCUUUCAAAAACACAUGGUUUAAAGAUGAACCUGACUUAUUGAAAAAGUGGGAGCAGUUCUAUCUACCUGAUCACAUGUUUAUGGAGGUGAUAGGAGUACUAGAAAACUUCUAUCAUGAUGAACUCAGUAAUGAGUUGGUGUUGAUGGUGUGUGAGGAUGGAAACGUAUAUGCUUAUGAAGAUGAACACCUGCAUCUAGUUGCCAAUAACCUAACAGAGCUUUUUGAGUGUGGGGUCCAGUUUCCGGGCAUCAAACAAUACUACUCUGGCCAAAGAUUUCAGGACAUGGAAGAUGAUGAAUGUAAUGAAAAGGAGAGAUCACAGAGAGUUACAGAGACAAGCAAGAAAAACCAGGACAUGUUUGAGAACAUGAAGAUAGAAUUUUUAAAAAGUUUGGAAUAUGUUGAUCAGAUACUGUCAAAUGAGCAGCCAGCUAUCUGUUGUUCAACAAUAAAAAAGGACACCAUAGAGACAUCACAUAAAUCAUUAAUGUCCAGCUAUGUUGAAGUUCAUAGAAGGAGAUGGCUCGGUGAGAGAUGUCCCCCUCCAGCACACCUCGACAUCUCAAGCUGACCUUUCGAACUCAAAAGUUUAAAUCUCAGCUCUGCUACCAGCAGGAUGGGUGCUUGGAUAACAUUGACAAUAACCGACAUGUAUGACUUCUAGGGCUGGGCGAUAUAUGAAUAUUUUAAAAAUAUCGAUAUAUUUUCAUACGCGAUAUAAGAUAAGACAAUAUCGCGUAUAUCGAUAUAAAUGUUGCGUUCCAGUUAGAUCCGACAGUUCGUCUUUCUCUUCUCCCAGUUUGUCUCUGCACAUGUUCACCUGCCCCGCCCCUCUCCCUCACUGCCCCGCCCCUCUCCCUCACUGAACACAACUCGCCCCUCCCCACCGCUUCACCAGUAAGUCCUGCAGGCAGCGAUAGCAUGGAGACGGAUAAAGACGUGACAGAAGCUAUGGAAGAGGAGCUGCUUACUAAAAAUAAAAAUAAUGACUAAUUUUGUAAUUUUUUGGAGAUGGUUCGAAUUCAAAGUGUCAGAUGAGCAGCAGAAUAAUGUAUUCUGUAGAGAAUGCCGAAAACAAGUCCAGAUAAAAGGUUCCAGCUCUGUGUACCUUCAUUCGUUUUUCACUUCAAAUCCCAAAGUUAAAAAACAAGAAAACGAGUCGUUAUUCGUUUCAAAAACCAACACAAGCGCAUGCACGCGCUGACAUGCACGUAUUUACUUCACAUUAAGUGUUGAGAAAGUAAUAAUAACGUAACGGUGCGUCUCCUGUUGUUCUGACUCUUGUGUUUGUAUAUGUGAUGUGCAUAUAUUUUCUCUAUCUGUAAAAAUCAAACAUUAUGGGGAUUUCUGUACUGGAUGUUGUACGUGGUCGUGUUAGUUUAUACUGGACGAUCGCCCGACGUCCGACACGUCAUUUAUUUAUUUAUCUUCUAUUAUAGUAUUUCUUGUUGUCGGCCAAUAAACAACCAAACAUUAUUAAAUUGCAUGAACUAACUCUGCAGUAAACAAGGAGCAAACAGCAAUUAAACAACAAAUAAAGCUGUUAAAUAAUAAUACAGUGCAUGAAGCAGAACGCUGAUUAAAAUGCAUUAAAUGUUGUAAUAGUUACACAGUAACAUGAACGAUUAGUUCUGCCUGUAUUACAGAACUGAGUUCUAUACAGUAAAAGAAAAUAUUAAUGUAAAUGUUUAUGUUGUGGCGACAUAUACAUAAAAUAAUGUAUAAG